rnacentral:rRNA from 1 species
UGGGGAAUAUUGCACAAUGGGCGCAAGCCUGAUGCAGCCAUGCCGCGUGUAUGAAGAAGGCCUUCGGGUUGUAAAGUACUUUCAGCGGGGAGGAAGGUGUUGUGGUUAAUAACCACAGCAAUUGACGUUACCCGCAGAAGAAGCACCGGCUAACUCCGUGCCAGCAGCCGCGGUAAUACGGAGGGUGCAAGCGUUAAUAGGACUUACUGGGCGUAAAGCGCACGCAGGCGGUCUGUCAAGUCGGAUGUGAAAUCCCCGGGCUCAACCUGGGAACUGCAUCCGAAACUGGCAGGCUUGAGUCUUGUAGAGGGGGGUAGAAUUCCAGGUGUAGCGGUGAAAUGCGUAGAGAUCUGGAGGAAUACCGGUGGCGAAGGCGGCCCCCUGGACAAAGACUGACGCUCAGGUGCGAAAGCGUGGGGAGCAAACA